rnacentral:rRNA from 1 species
UACGGAGGGUGCGAGCGUUGUCCGGAAUCACUGGGCGUAAAGGGCGCGUAGGUGGCGCGGGAAGUCAACGGUGAAAGUUCAGGGCUCAACCCUGAAUCGGCCGUCGAUACUCCCGGGCUUGAGCACUGUAGAGGCAGAUGGAAUUCCGGGUGUAGCGGUGGAAUGCGUAGAGAUCCGGAAGAACACCGGUGGCGAAGGCGGCCCGCUGGGCAGUGGCUGACGCUGAGGCGCGACAGCGUGGGGAGCAAACAGG